rnacentral:rRNA from 1 species
AGCGCUGGAAACGGCGUCUAAUACUGGAUACGAGUGGCGACCGCAUGGUCAGCUACUGGAAAGAUUUAUUGGUUGGGGAUGGGCUCGCGGCCUAUCAGCUUGUUGGUGAGGUAAUGGCUCACCAAGGCGUCGACGGGUAGCCGGCCUGAGAGGGUGACCGGCCACACUGGGACUGAGACACGGCCCAGACUCCUACGGGAGGCAGCAGUGGGGAAUAUUGCACAAUGGGCGCAAGCCUGAUGCAGCAACGCCGCGUGAGGGAUGACGGCCUUCGGGUUGUAAACCUCUUUUAGCAGGGAAGAAGCGAAAGUGACGGUACCUGCAGAAAAAGCGCCGGCUAACUACGUGCCAGCAGCCGCGGUAAUACGUAGGGCGCAAGCGUUAUCCGGAAUUAUUGGGCGUAAAGAGCUCGUAGGCGGUUUGUCGCGUCUGCUGUGAAAUCCGGAGGCUCAACCUCCGGCCUGCAGUGGGUACGGGCAGACUAGAGUGCGGUAGGGGAGAUUGGAAUUCCUGGUGUAGCGGUGGAAUGCGCAGAUAUCAGGAGGAACACCGAUGGCGAAGGCAGAUCUCUGGGCCGUAACUGACGCUGAGGAGCGAAAGGGUGGGGAGCAAACAGGCUUAGAUACCCUGGUAGUCCACCCCGUAAACGUUGGGAACUAGUUGUGGGGUCCAUUCCACGGAUUCCGUGACGCAGCUAACGCAUUAAGUUCCCCGCCUGGGGAGUACGGCCGCAAGGCUAAAACUCAAAGGAAUUGACGGGGGACCCGCACAAGCGGCGGAGCAUGCGGAUUAAUUCGAUGCAACGCGAAGAACCUUACCAAGGCUUGACAUAUACGAGAACGGGCCAGAAAUGGUCAACUCUUUUGGACACUCGUAAACAGGUGGUGCAUGGUUGUCGUCAGCUCGUGUCGUGAGAUGUUUGGGUUAAGUCCCGCAACAAGCGCAACCCUUCGUU